AUGAAGUCGGUGAUAUAUUUUUAGGCGGCUUCAGUAACGGAGUGUCGAAAAUGGUAACGGACGGCGCUAUGCUGACAGUAAAUCUGGACCGACGUUCUCCAAGCCCUGCACCCUUUCCACCGUGUCACUACUGGACUUUUCCGAGCCUUUUUGGUAUGGACUGUUCACUCCACCCUGAGACAGCCUGGUCUCUUCGUCUUUCCUGAGCAGCAGGUUCACUGAUCACAAAGUGCUCACUCUUUGAUUGGCCCGUCUCAUUUACGGAGGCAUCAACCCACAAGCCGUGUUUCUUGUCUGCGUCCAUUGGCGUGGGCGACACGUCAUUGAUAGGUGACCUGUGAGUUGACAUUCCACUUAGUUUCCCAGCAAGUAAAAGUCAAAAACGUGCUUAUUCAAUACCUUAAUUUCAU